rnacentral:tRNA from 1 species
UCUAAUGUGGCAGAAUAAUGCAAUGAACCUAAAAUUCAAAAAUAAAUAUUAUAUUUUUUUAGAA